rnacentral:rRNA from 1 species
CAGCCGCCGCGGUAAUACGAAGGGUGCAAGCGUUAAUCGGAAUUACUGGGCGUAAAGCGUGCGUAGGCGGUUUGUUAAGUCUGCUGUGAAAUCCCCGGGCUCAACCUGGGAAUGGCAGUGGAUACUGGCAAGCUAGAGUGUGUCAGAGGAUGGUGGAAUUCCCGGUGUAGCGGUGAAAUGCGUAGAGAUCGGGAGGAACAUCAGUGGCGAAGGCGGCCAUCUGGGACAACACUGACGCUGAGGCACGAAAACGUGGGGAGCAAACAGGAUUAGAUACCCCAGUAGUCCCUGUCUCUUAUAC